UUUCCUAUUCUCUCGUUUGUUUUCUCUUUGUGCGUAGGGAGGGUGGCGACGUGCUCCGCGAAUCGUGUAGGCUUGACUCCUUUGUUCCUUCGUUCUUCAAUUCCACAUAGCGAUGGUUGACCGCAGCACACUGAAGAGGAGGGGAUCAAGCUAAAAAAUCAAAGAGCCACCCAUUCAGAUGUUGGCCCUUCUGGGGUUUCUGAUGAUGAUAGUGACUUUUGUGUCGCCUACUUGCGCGUUCCUUUCUAGAUUGCACAAGAACCUCUGUGGGAUGCCCCUGAUUAUGAACUAUUCGGGGAGGAGGAUGCUAUGUAUCCUCGGGCGAAGAUGAGGGCACAGACUGUCAUAGUGGUAAACACGUUGAAGGAUUUGAGUAAUCUGCAAAAGGCUGACAUUUGUGAUCUUGGUUUUGGUGCUUUGCUUGGAGUUCGAUGUUGAGGAGGUUUCACCGUGCCUUCUACAAAAGCUUUUCUUUUUUAUUUUUGUGAACACUAUAGUCGUUUUAGAGUCAACUCGGGGGAUAUUUAUCUAGCUUCCGUUUUUUGCUGAUAGUAGUCAGUUUCUCCCACUUUGUUUGGUUUGUUUUUUUUUUUGCUGGUCCACCUCUCGGUGCACACCAGGCGUAAAAAACACAUCCAGGCACACAUUUUUGUGUAUUUGUUAUCCAAAUGUAUUUUGUUAUACAA